rnacentral:rRNA from 1 species
UACGUAGGGUGCAAGCGUUAAUCGGAAUUACUGGGCGUAAAGCGUGCGCAGGCGGCUAUGCAAGACAGAUGUGAAAUCCCCGGGCUCAACCUGGGAACUGCAUUUGUGACUGCAUGGCUAGAGUACGGCAGAGGGGGAUGGAAUUCCGCGUGUAGCAGUGAAAUGCGUAGAUAUGCGGAGGAACACCGAUGGCGAAGGCAAUCCCCUGGGCCUGCACUGGACGCUCAUGCACGAAAGCGUGGGGAGCAAACAGG